UAGGUUGGACAGCUGAACAUGCUGCUACCAGGUCUCAAUUUGGUAAACGACUGUCAGAGUUUGGACUUAUUCAGGAAAAAUUUGCAUGCAUGACAGUGACAGCAUAUGCCAUGGAGAGUAUGGCUUAUCUCACUGCAGGCAUUAUUGACAUGUACGAAGAACCUGACUGUUCAGUGGAGGCAGCCAUGGUCAAGGUGAGUUCCUGUCCUCGGGGUAGAUGACGAUCUUAUUGCAGGCAAAAUUGUUUAAAACUUCAUUUGCCAUUGAUAAAAAUCCCUUUAUUUUAUUUGGAACCAAGCAGCAUGAGGUAAAUCAGUAAAGUGGCUUAUGAGGGGUUGUUUGCCAAAAAUGUCUGCUUGCAGUAUAACUCCGUCUAGUUUCAAAUAUUUGUUUCCUUGGCUGUUGCUUGUAACUGUGCCGUUGCUUUCAGACAAGAAAGAAAACACAAACAAAAUACCUGAAAUAAAAAAUAGAUAUGUAGAGGGCUGGUAGGCUGGCGUUUGUUGUUAGUUUUUGGCAGGGAGGUGGUUGUUAGUUUUUGUCGGGACCUGCUCAGGCAUUGCGAAAGAGGAUAUUCGGCAGUGAUUGACUGGGGUUAAAGCUACUAAUUGCCCCAGCUGUAUAGUAGCCUUGUGGAAAGUUUAGCCUUCCGAGAGGUAUACAAGGGCAGAGCUAAGACGAAACGAGAGAACAGACGUCGGUGGAGGAGACAGCGAGCACAGACAUGCGGCAGAGAAGAGACAGCCUGACUUUUAGUGCCUCUGGCGAUUCGACACAGCCGUGGCCAUUGUACAAGCCCAUGUAUUAAAGGGUCGCACACUUCUUGACUGUUCCUGCCUUUGUUCAAGUGUUGGAAGUUUGUUGUCGUCACACCACAACCCCCACCACUCGGCUACAAAUAUAAUAUCAGAGAAUUAUUUUUAAAAACCCCAAAUAAUUAACCUAUUUCACAGACAUACACUAAGACAUUUAAAUCUUACGUUCCCCCUUUUACAAUAAAGUCUUUCCAUUACAGUCACUUCUAUAGACAGUCCUCUUUGAAGCCUCCUUCAACAGGUAAAGAGUAUUGAGAGUAAAAAUAAAGGAAGACAGACACAAUAAUCUUUUCUUGGUUGCCGUCCCUCUUGAAGUCAACCAAGAUCUGGCACAUCAAUAUGAAGAAUAUUCAGAUAAAAGAAAGGGGAAAAAAACCUGGACAGAAAAAAUGUAGUCCUUAAAAUCAGAUUUAAAUUCAUUAUACUACUAAUUUAAUAUUGCCCAAUUAAUAAUUAAGUCAAAAAUUUGUGCAUUCAAAAAGAUUCAAAAGCAAAUCUGACAGCCUCACCUCAGCAUGUGUUCAGAUGAAUAAUUUACACACUUUUUAACAAGUCUGGUCAGGCCUUAGCAACACAUCAAGGGAGAACUAUCAGUCAACAAACAAUCCCAGUCAAGGACACAAAACAACUGCCAAAGUCACUUCUCUGGCCUAAUCUUUACAAGAGGAGCCUCUCAAUGAUGCUGUUAUGUUAACUCUUAGCACUGCAUAAAAAUAUAAUCACAUAUUAAAACAAUGGUGUAUUUCUUAAGAUGCCAAAGAUAUCCGUGGGUGAUGUUUAUUUUUAUACUUUGCUGCUCUCAGGUUAACAGUAAACCACAAAACCUAUAAAUCUUUGGAAAGGAGAAAACUUUGUAAUAAAAGUAAUUAAAAUCCAAGAAAAUUCAGUUUACUAUUCUUGGGGCAUAUGAGCAGAGCCACUUUCGUGGUUCAUUGUGCACUGCUGGCAAAGCCAUGCUCAUGGCCCAUUGCACUAAGAGGGUUAAAGAAAAAGUCUUUGUCCUGAGAUGCUCACACCUACCCACAUACUCCUGUGCACUCACCACCUUCCAUCCAUUUCAGUUUCCUUUUCAUCCAAAUUAUUUUGGGAAAAAACUCCAGAUUUGUGAGAAUGGCAUUCAUAUAAUUCACAGACACGAGUAUUUUUUUGACGCAUUUUCAGGAUAGGUGAUGCAAAUCAAGAUUCUAAAUCAUCAGGUGCUGAUUGAACUGAGAGAUUACUUGAAGAAUAGGUGUUACAGAUGAAUACAUGUGCAAGAAAAUGGAAACAAGGAUUAGUUAAUAAAUGAGACUACAUUUUGUGUUGAUAUAAACAGGAUUAUUUGCUUCAUGAAAAUUAUUGUACAUAAUUAUAAUUUAAUUUGUGUUGAAAAUUGGUACACAAUAACAAUGAUGUAUAAAUGUUUUUUUGUAUUGAAUGUCAUUCCCCCCCCCCAAAAAAAAAAAAAAAAAAAAUCCCAGAUCAUUUAUUGGCUGUCAGAAUUUUAAAGUCUAGCAGAUUAAGAAAAAGGCUAGAGCUGACACUUUUUUCCUGUGUUACUGGAUGUAUUUGAUUUGCAGAUUUUCAGCUCUGAGGUUGCUGGACAUGUGUGAGUGAGUGCCUUCAGAUUCUGGGAGGCCUGGGCUAUAUGAAGGACUAUCCAUAUGAGAGAUACCUCAGAGACUCUAGGAUCCUUCUUAUAUUUGAGGGAACAAAUGAAAUCCUACGCCUGUUUGUUGCACUACAAGGAUUGCAACAUGCUGGCAAGAAGCUGAAGGAUCUUGUCAAGAAACUGCGUGAUCCUUUCAAUAAUCCAAAGCUGG
rnacentral:lncRNA from 1 species